rnacentral:rRNA from 1 species
GUUGUUGCAGUUAAAAAGCUCGUAGUUGAAUUUCGGGGUUAGUAGGUUGGUCAUGCCUCUGGUAUGUACUGGUCUCACUGAUUCCUCCUUCCUGAUGAACCGUAAUGCCAUUAAUUUGGUGUUGCGGGGAAUUUGGACUGUUACUUUGAAAAAAUUAGAGUGUUUAAAGCAGGCUAACGCUUGAAUACAUUAGCAUGGAAUAAUGAAAUAGGACGUUCGAU